rnacentral:rRNA from 1 species
UGGGGAAUAUUGCACAAUGGGCGAAAGCCUGAUGCAGCGACGCCGCGUGAGGGAUGACGGCCUUCGGGUUGUAAACCUCUUUCAGCAGGGAAGAAGCGAAAGUACGGUACCUGCAGAAGAAGCGCCGGCUAACUACGUGCCAGCAGCCGCGGUAAUACGUAGGGCGCAAGCGUUGUCCGGAAUUAUUGGGCGUAAAGAGCUCGUAGGCGGUUAGUCGCGUCUGCUGUGAAAACUCGAGGCUCAACCUCGGGCUUGCAGUGGGUACGGGCUGACUAGAUGCGGUAGGGGUGACUGGAAUUCCUGGUGUAGCGGUGGAAUGCGCAGAUAUCAGGAGGAACACCGAUGGCGAAGGCAGGUCACUGGGCCGCAACUGACGCUGAGGAGCGAAAGCAUGGGGAGCGAACAGGAUUAGAUA